AACGCGAAGAACCUUACCUGGGUUUGACAUGCACAGGACGCCGGUAGAGAUAUCGGUUCCCUUGUGGCCUGUGUGUAGGUGGUGCAUGGCUGUCGUCAGCUCGUGUCGUGAGAUGUUGGGUUAAGUCCCGCAACGAGCGCAACCCUUGUCCUGUAUUGCCAGCGGGUUAUGCCGGGGACUUGCAGGAGACUGCCGGGGUCAACUCGGAGGAAGGUGGGGAUGACGUCAAGUCAUCAUGCCCCUUAUGUCCAGGGCUUCACACAUGCUACAAUGGCCGGUACAGAGGGCUGCGAUACCGUGAGGUGGAGCGAAUCCCUUAAAGCCGGUCUCAGUUCGGAUCGGGGUCUGCAACUCGACCCCGUGAAGUCGGAGUCGCUAGUAAUCGCAGAUCAGCACG
rnacentral:rRNA from 1 species